rnacentral:rRNA from 1 species
UACGUAGGGUCCGAGCGUUGCCCGGAAUUAUUGGGCGUAAAGGGUUCGUAGGCGGUCUGUUGCGUCGGGAGUGAAAACUUACAGCUUAACUGUGAGCGUGCUUUCGAUACGGGCAGACUUGAGGCAUUCAGGGGAGAACGGAAUUCCUGGUGUAGCGGUGAAAUGCGCAGAUAUCAGGAGGAACACCGGUGGCGAAGGCGGUUCUCUGGGAAUGUCCUGACGCUGAGGAGCGAAAGUGUGGGGAGCGAACAGG